GAUUCUGGCUCAGAACGAACGCUGGCGGCAUGGAUUAGGCAUGCAAGUCGAACGAAGCAGCAAUGCUUAGUGGCGGAAGGGUGAGGAACGCGUGAGUAAUCUGCCCUCAAGUUGGGAAUAACAGCUGGAAACGGCUGCUAAUACCGAAUGUGGCUGUUGGACCGCAUGGUCUGACAGUUAAAGAUUUAUUGCUUGAGGAUGAGCUCGCGUCCCAUUAGCUAGUUGGCGGGGCAACGGCCCACCAAGGCGAUGAUGGGUAGCUGGUCUGAGAGGAUGGUCAGCCACACUGGGACUGAGACACUGCCCAGACUCCUACGGGAGGCUGCAGUCGAGAAUCUUGGGCAAUGCGCGAAAGCGUGACCCAGCAAAUGCCGCGUGCGUGAUGAAGGUCUUCGGAUUGUAAAGCGCUGUCAACCGGGACGAAAGAUGACGGUACCGGUGAAGGAAGCCACGGCUAACUACGUGCCAGCAGCUGC
rnacentral:rRNA from 1 species